rnacentral:rRNA from 1 species
AUGCAAGUCGAACGGUAACAGGAAGAAGCUUGCUGCUUUGCUGACGAGUGGCGGACGGGUGAGUAAUGUCUGGGAAACUGCCUGAUGGAGGGGGAUAACUACUGGAAACGGUAGCUAAUACCGCAUAACGUCCCAAGACCAAAGAGGGGGACCUUCGGGCCUCUUGCCAUCGGAUGCGCCCAGAUGGGAUUAGCUAGUAGGUGGGGUAACGGCUCACCUAGGCGACGAUCCCUAGCUGGUCUGAGAGGAUGACCAGCCACACUGGAACUGAGACACGGUCCAGACUCCUACGGGAGGCAGCAGUGGGGAAUAUUGCACAAUGGGCGCAAGCCUGAUGCAGCCAUGCCGCGUGUAUGAAGAAGGCCUUCGGGUUGUAAGGUACUUUCAGCGGGGAGGAAGGGAGUAAAGUUAAUACCUUUGCUCAUUGACGUUACCCGCAGAAGAAGCACCGGCUAACUCCGUGCCAGCAGCCGCGGUAAUACGGAGGGUGCAAGCGUUAAUCGGAAUUACUGGGCGUAAAGCGCACGCAGGCGGUUCGUUAAGUCAGAUGUGAAAUCCCCGGGCUCAACCUGGGAACUGCAUCUGAUACUGGCAAGCUUGAGUC